UGCGGAAUCUCCUGCUCUCUAGGC
rnacentral:siRNA from 1 species